rnacentral:rRNA from 1 species
CCUACGGGAGGCUGCAGUGGGGAAUAUUGGGCAAUGGGCGCAAGCCUGACCCAGCAACGCCGCGUGAAGGAAGAAGGCUUUCGGGUUGUAAACCUCUUUUCUCAGGGACGAAGAAAGUGACGGUACCUGACGAAUAAGCCACGGCUAACUACGUGCCAGCAGCCGCGGUAAUACGUAGGUGGCAAGCGUUAUCCGGAUUUAUUGGGGGUAAAGGGCGUGUAGGCGGGAAGACAAGUCAGAUGUGAAAUCCCGCGGCUCAACCGCGGAACUGCAUUUGAAACUGUUUUUCUUGAGUACCGGAGAGGUCAGCGGAAUGCCUGGUGUAGCGGUGAAAUGCGUAGAUAUUAGGAAGAACACCAGUGGCGAAGGCGGCUUUCUGGACUGAAACUGACGCUGAGGCACGAAAGCGUGGGGAGCGAACAGGAUUAGAUACCCUAGUAGUC